ensembl:lncRNA
CUGAGGCUCCUUGAUGAGAAUUGAAGCUCACUGGAAAAGUGAAGAAAAUCUCUGCAAUAAAGGCACACCAGACUACCAUAAUUGGCUUGAUUAGGAACCCAAGAUUCAUUUCCAAGUGGUUCACUCAGAAAGCUGAUAUGGAUCCCUUCACAGAUCUGUUUCAUGUCCUCCUGACUUGGCAGUUGGCUUUGUCCAGAAAAAGAACUCAAAAGAGGAAAGGUGGAAGAAAACUACAAUGCCUCUUAUAACCUAGCCUGGGAAGUCACUAAUCCAAAACUUUUGUUGGUUUAGAGGGUUCAUGGAUUUCCUGGUAACCUGCUAAGAAUCUAGUUAAAACUAUCUACUGGACUAUGUACACAUGGCCUGUCCUGGGAUACCUCUGAAGAUGAUGAAUGGAUUCCACAGGUGUGUACCCCAAGAAGAGCUACAGCAAGGCAGAAAUCACCUCCUUUGAUGUGCUAACUUUAGAAGUAAUCCAUUGUCACAUCCACUGCAUUCUAUACCCCAAGACAGUCACCACAUUCUAUCCAAUUUCAAGAUGAUGGAAUGAAGAAAUGUCAUUAUCACAUUGUAAGAAUAGCAUGCAAGAUGGGAUGUAUAUUUGUAUGGACAACUUUGGAAAUGCAAUCUGCCACGGUUUGCUUCAGGCCACAAUAAUUCACAACCCUAGCACAUGCAAAAUGCACCAUUCCUCUCUUGAAACCUUAAAGUUUUAUUACAGAAUCAGCUCAAAGUCCGGAUCUUGUCAUUUGAAUCAGGUCCAGGAGCAUAUGAGGCUCCUCAGAUGCACUUCUUUAACUAUAGCCCCUCAACUAUACUCUUCUGCAUCUAAAGACUGUGAACCAAGCAGAAAAGUUAUCUAAUACUCUCAACUCUCAAUAAUGGGACAACAUGGAAUACAUCUAAGGGUGUCCCUAUUCAUAAAAGGGGGACAUGGCAAAAACACAUUGCCCUCACUCUUCCAUAGGAGUUCUAAAGUUUGAA